GUUUUCCUGCAAAUUAAAUUAAUUUGAAUUAUUAUGUAAAUAAUAAGUAAUUUUACUUUUUCUUGUAUAUUUUUAUAGCUCUUUAUAAAGUUCUUAAACUUUACAAUGUGAAUGGUGCCGGCCACCUUAGUAAUAUGAGAAUCAAAUUACCGUGCAUUACAUUUAAAAACUACAGUGCAAUAACCACAAUAAGGUUGGUAGACUUUUAGCGUACGAAAUGAGGACCGUGACCCAAAUAUCCACAUAUCUGCACCCAACACUCAGAAAUGGCUUUCGCCAACCAGAGCACAUGUUGUCUGCAAAAGAGAUGGUGCAUCGUGAACUGGGGAAUCUUCUUGAAGAAUUUUCAACUCUCGCUUUAUCAUCGGAACAGGCAGAAAAAACCACAAACAAUUUUAAAAAGCCUGAUAUUCUGGAUUUUUUGCAUUCGCGAAAACGGGAUAUUCCGAACGCCACGGCGGCCGCAGUGAAGAUAGUGCGAAUGUAUAUUGAGACUGAAGCCGCCACAGUAAACUACACCGAAAUUGAAAAAAAAAAAAAAAUUGCUGGCGCGUGCUAUCUAUCAUCCAGAAGGAGCAGGCUUCUGAAUGACGCAGUGGACCAACUAUGCCUCUUGCAUCAAAAUUUUGAUUUAAUACAAUAGUAUUAUAUAAAAAAUAAAAA